GACGAACGCUGGCGGCGUGCUUAACACAUGCAAGUCGAACGGAAAGGCCCUGCUUUUGUGGGGCGCUCGAGUGGCGAACGCGUGAGUAACACGCGAGUAACCUGCCCUUGACUUUGGGAUAACUUCAGGAAACUGGGGCUAAUACCGGAUAGGAGCUCCUGAUGCACGGUGGGGGUUGGUAAGUUUCGGCGGUUGGGGAUGGACUCGCGGCUUAUCCGCUUGUUGGUGGGGUAGUGGCUUACCAAGGCUUUGACGGGUAGCCGGCCUGAGAGGGUGACCGGCCACAUUGGGACUGAGAUACGGCCCAGACUCCUACGGGAGGCAGCAGUGGGGAAUAUUGCACAGUGGGCGGAAGCCUGAUGCAGCAACGCCGCGUGCGGGAUGACGUCCUUCGGGUUGUAAACCGCUUUCGCCUGUGACGAAGCGUGAGUGACGGUAAUGGGUAAAGAAGCACCGGCUAACUACGUG
rnacentral:rRNA from 1 species